rnacentral:lncRNA from 1 species
ACUGGAGUUUUUUCUUUGUGACUUGCUUCCCUGACUGAUAUUUGAGCCUGUUGGAGAACAAGAAAUUCAAACAACCCAGAUUCAGCAGUGCCCUGAUCCACCCACUAGUGCUUUCAACUACAACUAAAAAUGGCGGAAACAGGAAAAGGAAUUCAUUGGUACAAAUAACUGUCAAGUCCAGAGUAGUGUUGGUUUCAGGCAAACUUGAUCCAGGGGCCCAGUGAUGGGCCCAGUGACCUCGUAUCUUUCUGUUUCUCUGACUUGUCUUGGUGUUGGCUUUCUCCUAAUUUAGGCCCUCCUCAUGGGCAAAGAUGGCUGCCAAAGGCACCUGGAAAGUGAGCCCAUCUUUGUCCCAGCAUCUUCGUAGAAAAGGUUUUCAGAUUCACUCUGAUUGGACUGGUUUAGGUUACAAACCAAUUACCAUGUUCAAGGGGUUGGAAUGUGCUAGAACAAGAGUUUUUGUUCCUCUUCCCAGGAACCAUAGUAAUCCCCAGAUGAACAGAAGAUCUUUGGGGAAGGAAGAGGGGAGAAAAAUCCACGCUGAGACCAUCAGAUGUCCGUGGUAACUGCACGGUGGUUUGGCCUGGCUGCAGCAUCUGCUCCCCAGACUGUAGUGGCACUUUACAGUGUUAUCCUGUGUUCUCUACAGUUCAUAAUGCUUCAUAAGUAGCACAGAUACAUUUCUACAUCAGUUCCCACAGUGGGUGACUAAUAAACUAAAUAUGACUCUACUCUUCACAAAACUGUUUAGUGAGAAAGAACUUGAGAACAGAGACUUUGAUUUGGAUGCUGAAAAUGGCUGCAAGUUCUAUUCUGGAAAACAAAGAAGGAUCUUCCGGGAAUGAAGCACCAGGGGCAAACCCUCUACAGAGAUGCAGUUGUGGCUAGGUGUGACCACAGUGGUCCACAGGAGACCCUUACUGUCACACACCAUUUUGUUCCAAGAUUGAAGAAUCCAGACUGAGGAAAAUGUCCUGCGUUCUGAUUUGGGUCAAAAUCAACUUUCCAGAGUAAAAAGGUAAAGGCUUUCCCUCAAGGGAGUGGACAUUCCCAUUGUCAUCUGGAGGGGGACAGUCACAGUGGGCUUUGAUCGAAGUUAAGACAUACUCCUUUCUCUCGUGGCCUAAGAACUCGGGAGCCUGGAUUACAGGUAGGAGAAACAAGCUCAAGGGCCACCUGGAAGAGGGGGGAGGAUUGGAGGCCAGUCCUGACGUCUCAGGAGAUAUUCACCCAGAGGUUCACCCCCUGGAGCCUGAUGCAAUGACAUGACGGUCCUAUGGGACAGGAGAAUGUUCCCAGGGCUUCUUAGCAUUAUUUGGGAGGGGAACCUGGUCAAAGACUGGGUUUCCUGUUAACCCUGUGGGCAGGAUGGAGGUAAAGGAAACGUGCCUUCAUGCUAAUCUCCAGACCUGUGAGUCCUGAGCCCAUCACAGAUAGAUAAAUACUAACGUAUCCUAUAUGCAGACUUGGUGUGGAUAGCAAAUUUCUAGAAGGAUACAUAAGAAUCUGCUCACUGGUUUCCUCUCGAAUUUCGCUUUGCAUUCUUCUGUAAGUUAAAAAAAUGUUUACAAAGUAUAUAUAUUACUUAUAUAACAAAAAUAAGAUAAAAAUAUGUAUAUUAAAAAAUAUGUAUUACCUAAAACCAUAUCCCAGCGAGCCAAGAAGUUUAUGCUACAUUAGGAAUUAAAUAGUGGAGAAAAGUAGCAUAUUUUAAAUAUUCCUCCAGGAUGGCUUACAUUUGCCAAGUCCCUUGUAAAUUUUCCUGCUUUUUUUUUUCAACAAGACAAAAUCUCUCUCUCUUCUAUUGAACUACAAGCUGUGGAACAACUUCAGUGUUCUCCCAGCAUUCACCUCUAGUGAUAACGUGAAUUCCUUGCACCCAGCUUCAGAGCAGGGUUCCCAUCCCUGGCUGCGCAUCCAGGAGUCUGAACCCGAGGGCAGUGCACCUGGAGUGUGCUCAUCUGACUCCCCCCUCUUCUUAAUUUUAAGAACUCUACGGGCGAGUCUGAUGUGCGGCCACAGUUGAGGUCCAGCCUUAGAAGAAGAACUAGGGAAACCGCCAAGGACUCAACCCAACCUUCUACACAGUGUGAGUGGGAGUUAGCUGACGGGUCUCUCCCAGAGAUUCCCCCGGAAUGAGCAAGUAACAGAGCCAAACAAACUGAACCCCAACAGAGAAGUAUGGACACCUUUGUAGUUAAAAUAAGCUUGGUAAAAAAGUUAUUUUGAAGGGUCGGCCAGGUGGUGCAGUGGGUAAGUGCUCAUGUUCCGCUUCAGCAGCCCGGGGUUCACGGGUUCGGAUCCUGGGUGCGGACAUGGCGCUGCUUGGCAAGCCAUGCUGUGGGAGGCGUCCCACAUAUAAAGUAGAGGAAGAGGGGCACGGAUGUGAGCUCAGGGCCAGUCUUCCUCAGCAAAAAGAGGAGGAUUGGAAGCAGAUGUUAGCUCAGG